GACGAACGCUGGCGGCGUGCUUAACACAUGCAAGUCGAGCGGUAAGGCCCUUUUGGGGGUACACGAGCGGCGAACGGGUGAGUAACACGUGGGUGACCUGCCCUCAGCUCUGGGAUAAGCCUGGGAAACUGGGUCUAAUACCGGAUAUGCACUGCUUAUCGCAUGGUGGGUGGUGGAAAGUCCUGUUCUGUAAUGGAUUGGGGCGGCCGGGGA
rnacentral:rRNA from 1 species